rnacentral:lncRNA from 1 species
CCACUGGCAGUUCUCCAGCCUAAUUAGUGGUAAUUAACAGCAAUCAGAUCGUUAAUAAUUAAUUUAUAACUUCCCUGAGCAAUCCCGGUGAAAUUCCCAUAAGGGAUCAUUGGAAUAUCGGUGAUCAAUAUUGGUUGAUCAGUUAUUGCUCAGUACUGAUCAGUUAUCUCAUACUAAUCAGUUAUCGAUUAUUGAUCAGUUAUUGAUUAUUGAUCGGUUAUCGGUGAUCAAUACUCACGUCACCACAGCGUUUGGGUUUUUCUCAAUGGCGUAGAUCCUCACUCAGGGUAUUGAUCAGUACCGGUCAGUUAUUGAUCAGUUAUCUCAUACCCAGUAUUAAUCAGUUAUUGUUUAAUUAUCAGUUAUUGAUUAUUGAUCGGUUAUCGGUGAUCAAUACUCACGUGACGACCGCAUUUGGGUUUUUCUCCACGGCGUGGAUCCUCACUCAGGGUAUUGAUCAGUACCAGUCAGUUAUUGAUCACUUAUCUCAUACCAAUCAAUUAUCGGUUAUUGAUUAUCGAUCGGUUAUCGGUGAUCAAUACUCACGUCACCACGGCGUUUGGGUUUUUCUCCACGGCGUAGAUCCUCACUCAGGGUAUUGAUCAGUAUGGAUUGAUACCACGCAUAUUGACCAUUAUCGAUCAAUUAUCGGUUAUUGAUUAUUGAUCGGCUAUCGGUGAUCAAUACUCACGUGACGACGGCGUUGGGGUUUUUCUCCACGGUGUAGAUCCUCACUCGGGGUAGUGAUCAGUACCGGUC